rnacentral:tRNA from 1 species
GGUUAUGGCUCAGUGGUAGAGCGCUUGCCUAGCACGUGUGAGGCACUGGGUUAGAUCCUCAGCACCA